rnacentral:rRNA from 1 species
UACGUAGGUGGCAAACGUUGUCCGGAAUUAUUGGGCGUAAAGCGCGCGCAGGCGGGUAUGUAAGUCUGAUGUUAAAGCCCGGGGCUCAACCUCGGUUCGCAUUGGAAACUGUGUAACUUGAGUGCAGAAGAGGAAAGUGGUAUUCCACGUGUAGCGGUGAAAUGCGUAGAUAUGUGGAGGAACACCAGUGGCGAAGGCGACUUUCUGGUCUGUAACUGUCGCUGAGGCGCGAAAGCGUGGGGAGCAAACAGG